rnacentral:lncRNA from 1 species
UUGAGGAGCCAGAUUCCGUUAGCUCUGGCUGAGUGUGUGGAUCCGUCUAAGUUUGUCUUGGAAGCAAUUUCAGAAGUUUUCCCAGUGGAUAAGAGGGGGGAAAGGACGGAGAAAGGGAAUGACUUGGGAUGGGCUUGCGUGCUGAUUUUGGAGAGCCUGAUACCGGUAGUCGUGGACCCGGUGAUAGGCAAGUCCAGGCUGUUAGUGACCCCGAGCGUGAAGGAGAGGGCCAAGGAAAUUGCUGAGACUUGGAAGAGAAGUCUGGAA